AUACGUAGGUGACAAGCGUUAUCCGGAUUUACUGGGUGUAAAGGGCGUGUAGGCGGUUUAGCAAGUCAGAAGUGAAAUUCCCGGGCUUAACUUGGGCGCUGCUUCUGAAACUGCUUUACUUGAGUGCUGGAGAGGAUAGUGGAAUUCCUAGUGUAGCGGUAAAAUGCGCAGAUAUUAGGAGGAACACCGGUGGCGAAGGCGGCUAUCUGGGCAGUAACUGACGCUGAGGCGCGAAAGCACGGGGAGCAAACAGGAUUAGAUACCCUGGUAGUCCGUGCCGUAAACGAUGAAUACUAGGUGUAGGGGGUAUCGACUCCCUCUGUGCCGCAGUUAACACAUUAAGUAUUCCACCUGGGGAGUACGGCCGCAAGGUUGAAACUCAAAUGAAUUGACGGGG
rnacentral:rRNA from 1 species